GGGUUGUGAGGUUAAGCGACUAAGCGUACACGGUGGAUGCCUAGGCAAUCAGAGGCGAUGAAGGACGUGCUAAUCUGCGAUAAGCGUCGGUAAGGUGAUAUGAACCGUUACAACCGACGAUUUCCGAAUGGGGAAACCCAGUGCAAUU
rnacentral:rRNA from 1 species